rnacentral:rRNA from 1 species
GGUCAGUAGGUUGGUCGUGCCACCGGUACGUACUGGUCUCACUGAUUCCUCCUUCCUGAAGAACCGUAAUGCCAUUAAUUUGGUGUUGCGGGGAAACAGGACUGUUACCUUGAAAAAAUUAGAGUGUUUAAAGCAAGCUAACGCUUGAAUACAUUAGCAUGGAAUAAUGAAAUAGGACGAUCGAUCCUAUUUUGUUGGUUUCUAGGAUUGACGUA